GCUUACGGCCACACCGCCUGGUUCACGCCCUGAUCUCGUUUGAUUUCGGAAGCUAAGAUAGGUUUGGCCUGGUUAGUACUUGGAUGGGAGACCGCCUGGGAAUACCAGGUGCUGUGGGCU
rnacentral:rRNA from 1 species